rfam:TPA: Aspergillus nidulans FGSC A4 chromosome V
GGUUCCAUAACUCAGUUGGUUAGAGUGUGGUGCUAAUAAAUGGUUUCCUAAUCAUUUGUCACGCCAAAGUCGAGGGUUCGACCCCCUCUGGGACCA